rnacentral:rRNA from 1 species
UACAGAGGGUGCGAGCGUUAAUCGGAAUUACUGGGCGUAAAGCGUGCGUAGACGGUAGCGUAAGUCAGAUGCGAAAGCCCCGGGCUCAACCUGGGAAUUGCAUUUGAGACUGCUCUGCUCGGGUGCGGAAGAGGGAAGCGGAAUUUCCGGUGUAGCGGUGAAAUGCGUAGAUAUCGGAAGGAACAUCAGUGGCGAAAGCGGCUUCCUGGUCCAGCACCGACGUUCAGGCACGAAAGCGUGGGGAGCAAACAGG